AUUGAACGCUGGCGGAAUGCUUUACACAUGCAAGUCGAGCGGCAGCGCGGCCUUCGGGCUGGCGGCGAGCGGCGAACGGGUGAGUAAUGCAUCGGAACAUGCCCAGUCGUGGGGGAUAACACUUCGAAAGAAGUGCUAAUACCGCAUACGUCCUGAGGGGGAAAGCGGGGGAUCGCAAGACCUCGCGCGAUUGGAGUGGCCGAUGUCAGAUUAGCAAGUUGGUGGGGUAAAGGCCUACCAAGGCGACGAUCUGUAGCUGGUCUGAGAGGAUGAUCAGCCACACUGGGACUGAGACACGGCCCAGACUCCUACGGGAGGCAGCAGUGGGGAAUUUUGGACAAUGGGGGCAACCCUGAUCCAGCCAUUCCGCGUGAGUGAAGAAGGCCUUCGGGUUGUAAAGCUCUUUCGGCAGGAACGAAACGGUGGGCUCUAACAUAGUCCGCUAAUGACGGUACCUGAAGAAGAAGCACCGGCUAACUACGUG
rnacentral:rRNA from 1 species